UAAGUCCGACCAACACACCAACAUUUACCAACCUUUCUUUGCACAGCACAACACGAGAUGAAAAAAAAAACCCGAGAAAAUGUGAUAACUAGGGGUUCCUUAAGCGCUUCAGGUCUUUUGAAACAUGGAUCAACCUUUCUUCCCUUUUAUGUGUUUUUCAUGUAUGCAUUUCCAAAGCGCACAGAUCUCUUUCUCUAAGGAUUGACUGUCAUGUUGCCACUCUUUCGUUUGUGAUCUGAUUGUCCCUCUAUCAAAUAUCCUAUGAAUAAAUCAUGACAUAACCUAUCACAGUAACACAUAUAAUACAUAG
rnacentral:lncRNA from 1 species